rnacentral:lncRNA from 1 species
GCUUCCAAGGCGAUUGAUCGGGCAGUGUCGGUCUGCAGCUGCUAAGCCAAGAAGAUCUGGGAAGGAGUCAGUCAGAGAGCCUUGGGCUGGAGUUCCAGGGGCUCUGGGAGUGGCGCCAG